UACGUAGGGGGCUAGCGUUGUCCGGAAUCAUUGGGCGUAAAGCGCGUGUAGGCGGCCGGUAAGUCCGCUGUGAAAGUCGGGGGCUCAACCCUCGGAUGCCGGUGGAUACUGUCGGGCUUGAGUACGGAAGAGGCGAGUGGAAUUCCUGGUGUAGCGGUGAAAUGCGCAGAUAUCAAGGAGGAACACCGAUUGCGAAGGCAGCUCGCUGGGACGUUACGACGCCUGAGACGCGAAAGCGUGGGAGCAAACAGG
rnacentral:rRNA from 1 species